CAUAGGUUAAUGAGGCGAACCGGGGGAACUGAAACAUCUAAGUACCCCGAGGAAAAGAAAUCAACCGAGAUUCCCCCAGUAGCGGCGAGCGAACGGGGAGCAGCCCAGAGCCUGAAUCAGUGUGUGUGUUAGUGGAAGCGUCUGGAAAGGCGCGCGAUACAGGGUGACAGCCCCGUACACAAAAAUGCACAUGCUGUGAGCUCGAUGAGUAGGGCGGGACACGUGGUAUCCUGUCUGAAUAUGGGGGGACCAUCCUCCAAGGCUAAAUACUCCUGACUGACCGAUAGUGAACCAGUACCGUGAGGGAAAGGCGAAAAGAACCCCGGCGAGGGGAGUGAAAAAGAACCUGAAACCGUGUACGUACAAGCAGUGGGAGCACGCUUAGGCGUGUGACUGCGUACCUUUUGUAUAAUGGGUCAGCGACUUAUAUUCUGUAGCAAGGUUAACCGAAUAGGGGAGCCGAAGGGAAACCGAGUCUUAACUGGGCGUUAAGUUGCAGGGUAUAGACCCGAAACCCGGUGAUCUAGCCAUGGGCAGGUUGAAGGUUGGGUAACACUAACUGGAGGACCGAACCGACUAAUGUUGAAAAAUUAGCGGAUGACUUGUGGCUGGGGGUGAAAGGCCAAUCAAACCGGGAGAUAGCUGGUUCUCCCCGAAAGCUAUUUAGGUAGCGCCUCGUGAAUUCAUCUCCGGGGGUAGAGCACUGUUUCGGCAAGGGGGUCAUCCCGACUUACCAACCCGAUGCAAACUGCGAAUACCGGAGAAUGUUAUCACGGGAGACACACGGCGGGUGCUAACGUCCGUCGUGAAGAGGGAAACAACCCAGACCGCCAGCUAAGGUCCCAAAGUCAUGGUUAAGUGGGAAACGAUGUGGGAAGGCCCAGACAGCCAGGAUGUUGGCUUAGAAGCAGCCAUCAUUUAAAGAAAGCGUAAUAGCUCACUGGUCGAGUCGGCCUGCGCGGAAGAUGUAACGGGGCUAAACCAUGCACCGAAGCUGCGGCAGCGACGCUUAUGCGUUGUUGGGUAGGGGAGCGUUCUGUAAGCCUGCGAAGGUGUGCUGUGAGGCAUGCUGGAGGUAUCAGAAGUGCGAAUGCUGACAUAAGUAACGAUAAAGCGGGUGAAAAGCCCGCUCGCCGGAAGACCAAGGGUUCCUGUCCAACGUUAAUCGGGGCAGGGUGAGUCGACCCCUAAGGCGAGGCCGAAAGGCGUAGUCGAUGGGAAACAGGUUAAUAUUCCUGUACUUGGUGUUACUGCGAAGGGGGGACGGAGAAGGCUAUGUUGGCCGGGCGACGGUUGUCCCGGUUUAAGCGUGUAGGCUGGUUUUCCAGGCAAAUCCGGAAAACUAAGGCUGAGGCGUGAUGACGAGGCACUACGGUGCUGAAGCAACAAAUGCCCUGCUUCCAGGAAAAGCCUCUAAGCAUCAGGUAACAUCAAAUCGUACCCCAAACCGACACAGGUGGUCAGGUAGAGAAUACCAAGGCGCUUGAGAGAACUCGGGUGAAGGAACUAGGCAAAAUGGUGCCGUAACUUCGGGAGAAGGCACGCUGAUAUGUAGGUGAAGUCCCUCGCGGAUGGAGCUGAAAUCAGUCGAAGAUACCAGCUGGCUGCAACUGUUUAUUAAAAACACAGCACUGUGCAAACACGAAAGUGGACGUAUACGGUGUGACGCCUGCCCGGUGCCGGAAGGUUAAUUGAUGGGGUCAGCGCAAGCGAAGCUCUUGAUCGAAGCCCCGGUAAACGGCGGCCGUAACUAUAACGGUCCUAAGGUAGCGAAAUUCCUUGUCGGGUAAGUUCCGACCUGCACGAAUGGCGUAAUGAUGGCCAGGCUGUCUCCACCCGAGACUCAGUGAAAUUGAACUCGCUGUGAAGAUGCAGUGUACCCGCGGCAAGACGGAAAGACCCCGUGAACCUUUACUAUAGCUUGACACUGAACAUUGAGCCUUGAUG
rnacentral:rRNA from 1 species